GGUAUCUAGAUGGGGAGGUAUUUUCAGGACGUCAGAUCGCUGCAAUUUUUCGUGAAGUUGGCAAUGCUUCUGUGAAGUUGGCGCAACAUGGUUAACAAAAGAGCUUAUCGAAACGUAUAAAAACAAUAGUGUGGAGAUCUAUCAACGCUCACUCAACAACGCUAAAAUGAUGAAGGCGAAGUUGUUAUGGAGAUAAUGGUCUAAAGACAGAAUCCAGAUGACAAGGUAUGAAGUGGAAAAACCCAGAAAUAGCCAGCGAAACAGAAUUUCAGGACUCAACCUUCUGCAGAAAAUGUGAUGCUAACUGUUUUUUGGGGGACACAAAAGGGCCUAUACUGGAACAUUAUCAGGAAAAGAGAUUUAAAUUCACCAGCGUAGGCGAAAUUGAAAUACUGGCCAACAUACUAAAAACAGUAUUUCGCGCCAAAAGGCUAGCUCUAUUGUCAACUCAAAGGUUAUUGUUACGCGACAAUGUACGCCGACAUACAGCCGUCCACACCGCUGAAACGAUUAAAAAUUUCUAUUUCAAGUUGCUAGAAUACUCUGCAGACAGUCAAAAUCUCCUGAUUGUUACCUGAAACAUUCUUUACGAGGUAAUCGAUUUGCUAAGGACAUUGAAGAGCAGGAAGUGGAGCAUACAUAGCUGUGCGAUCAACCAAAAACCUUCGAUUGAAUAUACAAGCCUGUGGACUGGAGCAUGUGGACAGUUAAAAGUGCAUCGAAAAGCAAAGAGACUAUGUCGAAAAACGACGUAAGCGUUCAACGCCUGCAUUUGUUUGAGUAAGACUAAGGACAGUUUCACCCGGUCAGUGAACGACGCGAAGAGAGAAACGAAGAGAGAAACGAAGACACAAAAAAGAAGUGGAUACGAAGUGGUGUUUGAGCGACCGAUCUUGGUAGAAAAAAAAGAAUGUCAUGAUGACUUUCCAUCUUACACGUGAAUACAUGGAAAUCCAAGAUGGCCGCCAUCUCACUGCAAUGCAGCUGGGAGUGUUUUUUGUGUGGACAGACUGACGCUGAAAUUUAUUAACUGAAGAAGA